GGGUUGUGAGGUUAAGCGACUAAGCGUACACGGUGGAUGCCCUGGCAGUCAGAGGCGAUGAAGGGCGUGCUAAUCUGCGAUAAGCGCCGGUAAGGUGAUAUGAACCGUUAUAACCGGCGAUACCCGAAUGGGGAAACCCAGUGUGAUUCGUCACACUAUCAUUAACUGAAUCCAUAGGUUAAUGAGGCGAACCGGGGGAACUGAAACAUCUAAGUACCCCGAGGAAAAGAAAUCAACCGAGAUUCCCCCAGUAGCGGCGAGCGAACGGGGAGGAGCCCAGAGCCUGAAUCAGCAUGUGUGUUAGUGGAAGCGUCUGGAAAGGCGCGCGAUACAGGGUGACAGCCCCGUACACAAAAGCGCAUGUGCUGUGAGCUCGAUGAGUAGGGCGGGACACGUGGUAUCCUGUCUGAAUAUGGGGGGACCAUCCUCCAAGGCUAAAUACUCCUGACUGACCGAUAGUGAACCAGUACCGUGAGGGAAAGGCGAAAAGAACCCCGGCGAGGGGAGUGAAAAAGAACCUGAAACCGUGUACGUACAAGCAGUGGGAGCCCCACCACUAAGCCAGUGGUGAACUCCACAUACGCAUCCUUUGCUGAGGAUACGGUUAACGGAGCACAAGCGACGUUCAACCGCAAAAGAAGCAGAGGGGGCUUAGUGGUGGGGUGACUGCGUACCUUUUGUAUAAUGGGUCAGCGACUUAUAUUCUGUAGCAAGGUUAACCGUAUAGGGGAGCCGGAGGGAAACCGAGUCUUAACCGGGCGUUAAGUUGCAGGGUAUAGACCCGAAACCCGGUGAUCUAGCCAUGGGCAGGUUGAAGGUUGGGUAACACUAACUGGAGGACCGAACCGACUAAUGUUGAAAAAUUAGCGGAUGACCUGUGGCUGGGGGUGAAAGGCCAAUCAAACCGGGAGAUAGCUGGUUCUCCCCGAAAGCUAUUUAGGUAGCGCCUCGUGAAUUCAUCUCCGGGGGUAGAGCACUGUUUCGGCUAGGGGGCCAUCCCGGCUUACCAACCCGAUGCAAACUGCGAAUACCGGAGAAUGUUAUCACGGGAGACACACGGCGGGUGCUAACGUCCGUCGUGAAGAGGGAAACAACCCAGACCGCCAGCUAAGGUCCCAAAGUCAUGGUUAAGUGGGAAACGAUGUGGGAAGGCCCAGACAGCCAGGAUGUUGGCUUAGAAGCAGCCAUCAUUUAAAGAAAGCGUAAUAGCUCACUGGUCGAGUCGGCCUGCGCGGAAGAUGUAACGGGGCUAAACCAUGCACCGAAGCUGCGGCAGCGACGCUGAUGCGUUGUUGGGUAGGGGAGCGUUCUGUAAGCCGUUGAAGGUGGCCUGUGAGGGUUGCUGGAGGUAUCAGAAGUGCGAAUGCUGACAUAAGUAACGAUAAAGCGGGUGAAAAGCCCGCUCGCCGGAAGACCAAGGGUUCCUGUCCAACGUUAAUCGGGGCAGGGUGAGUCGACCCCUAAGGCGAGGCCGAAAGGCGUAGUCGAUGGGAAACGGGUUAAUAUUCCCGUACUUGGUGUUACUGCGAAGGGGGGACGGAGAAGGCUAUGUUGGCCGGGCGACGGUUGUCCCGGUUUAAGCGUGUAGGUGUGUGUUCCAGGUAAAUCCGGUUCACUUUAACACUGAGGCGUGACGACGAGGCACUACGGUGCUGAAGCAACAAAUGCCCUGCUUCCAGGAAAAGCCUCUAAGCAUCAGGUAACAUCAAAUCGUACCCCAAACCGACACAGGUGGUCAGGUAGAGAAUACCAAGGCGCUUGAGAGAACUCGGGUGAAGGAACUAGGCAAAAUGGUGCCGUAACUUCGGGAGAAGGCACGCUGACACGUAGGUGAAGUGAUUUACUCAUGGAGCUGAAGUCAGUCGAAGAUACCAGCUGGCUGCAACUGUUUAUUAAAAACACAGCACUGUGCAAACACGAAAGUGGACGUAUACGGUGUGACGCCUGCCCGGUGCCGGAAGGUUAAUUGAUGGGGUCAGCGCAAGCGAAGCUCCUGAUCGAAGCCCCGGUAAACGGCGGCCGUAACUAUAACGGUCCUAAGGUAGCGAAAUUCCUUGUCGGGUAAGUUCCGACCUGCACGAAUGGCGUAAUGAUGGCCAGGCUGUCUCCACCCGAGACUCAGUGAAAUUGAACUCGCUGUGAAGAUGCAGUGUACCCGCGGCAAGACGGAAAGACCCCGUGAACCUUUACUAUAGCUUGACACUGAACAUUGAGCCUUGAUGUGUAGGAUAGGUGGGAGGCUUUGAAGUGUGGACGCCAGUCUGCAUGGAGCCGACCUUGAAAUACCACCCUUUAAUGUUUGAUGUUCUAACGUGGACCCGUAAUCCGGGUUGCGGACAGUGUCUGGUGGGUAGUUUGACUGGGGCGGUCUCCUCCUAAAGAGUAACGGAGGAGCACGAAGGUUGGCUAAUCCUGGUCGGACAUCAGGAGGUUAGUGCAAUGGCAUAAGCCAGCUUGACUGCGAGCGUGACGGCGCGAGCAGGUGCGAAAGCAGGUCAUAGUGAUCCGGUGGUUCUGAAUGGAAGGGCCAUCGCUCAACGGAUAAAAGGUACUCCGGGGAUAACAGGCUGAUACCGCCCAAGAGUUCAUAUCGACGGCGGUGUUUGGCACCUCGAUGUCGGCUCAUCACAUCCUGGGGCUGAAGUAGGUCCCAAGGGUAUGGCUGUUCGCCAUUUAAAGUGGUACGCGAGCUGGGUUUAGAACGUCGUGAGACAGUUCGGUCCCUAUCUGCCGUGGGCGCUGGAGAACUGAGGGGGGCUGCUCCUAGUACGAGAGGACCGGAGUGGACGCAUCACUGGUGUUCGGGUUGUCAUGCCAAUGGCACUGCCCGGUAGCUAAAUGCGGAAGAGAUAAGUGCUGAAAGCAUCUAAGCACGAAACUUGCCCCGAG
rnacentral:rRNA from 1 species